rnacentral:rRNA from 1 species
UACCAGCACCUCGAGUGGUCGGGACGUUUAUUGGGCCUAAAGCAUCCGUAGCCGGUUCUACAAGUCUUCCGUUAAAUCCAACUGCUUAACAGGUGGGCUGCGGAAGAUACUAUAGAGCUAGGAGGCGGGAGAGGCAAGCGGUACUCGAUGGGUAGGGGUAAAAUCCGUUGAUCCAUUGAAGACCACCAGUGGCGAAGGCGGCGUUGCCAGAACGCGCUCGACGUGAGGGAUGAAAGCUG